AUGCAAGAAGGAAAGAUUCUAGGCUGUUUGGCUGUUUCGUCCGGAUCUGUCAAGAAGGCACCAGGAAAGACUGGAAGCCAAGGGCAACCCUGGAAUUGUGAGACCCAAAGCCCAGGGCCCAUCACCUACAAGGAGAAUGAAGACCCAUGACUUGGCCUAUAAGGUCUUCAAUCAUCUGACCGACCACCUGAUGAAGAGUUUCAGCUAUACUUGGAAGGUCAGAUUGAGGCCAGAUCCUGAUGGACCUUGAAUGCCGGGUUGAGGAGCUUAGAUGGAAUCCUUCAGGUAAGAGGAAAACAUUGCAAGUGAGUGUGUUGUGGCCAGAGGUGUGCCUUAUCAUCCUCUUCUGAUAACACCUGAGCAGAAGCAAGGAGUCUCCUUCCUGCAUUGGUGGCUAACAUGUAGUGUCCUAGGUGGGACACCCCCUUCCUGGGAGGUCUGCUGGAGAGAGGAGCAGGGGGAAUCCUGGCUAAGACGGCUGGGUGAGAGUUUUGUGAUGAGAGAAGAGAAAGCCUUCCUUUUACCUGUUAGGUGGGACUUUGGCUUCUGCAGGGAGGAUGUAAAGAGAGUAUAGCUUUGUGCUGGGACCCCGGGCAAAGUCACUGUGCAGGACUCUUCUGAGCACACACUGGGUGCUGGCUCAACUGUCUUGUCACCCAGUCCUGGGGAGAGGUAACCAGCUCUCUGCUAACAGCUAGAGAAGGUCAGUCUGCU
rnacentral:lncRNA from 1 species